rnacentral:rRNA from 1 species
GACGAACCACACGAACGUUAUUCGGAAUUACUGGGCUUAAAGGGUGCGUAGGCUGUGCAGAAAGUUAGGUGUGAAAUCCCCCGGCUCAACCGGGGAAUUGCGCUUAAAACUACUGUGCUAGAGAAAGAUAGAGGUGAGCGGAACUUCGGGUGGAGCGGUGAAAUGCGUUGAUAUCCGAAGGAACACCGGUGGCGAAAGCGGUUCUCUGGGCAUUACCUGACGCUGAGGAGCGAAAGUGUGGGGAGCGAACAGG